rfam:Idiomarina xiamenensis 10-D-4 contig20, whole genome shotgun sequence.
GGAUGGUUAGCUCAGUUGGGAGAGCACCGCCCUUACAAGGCGGGGGUCACUGGUUCAAGCCCAGUACCAUCCA